AUAGGCUCUGCAAAAGGAUUGGAAUAUCUGCAUGAGCACUCAUCUCCCAAGAUUAUUCACCGAGAUAUCAAACCAGAUAACAUUCUUCUCGAUAUCAAUUUUGAACCAAAGAUUGCCGAUUUUGGACUUGCCUUAUUUUUUCCAGAUACUGUUACUCAUCUCUCCAGAUCAAUUGCGGGAACUGAAGUGCAAAAACUCGAAUUACACAAGCUUUGAAUGGAC
rnacentral:misc_RNA from 1 species